GAGAGAGGAAGAAAGAAAGGGAUACAAGAGAGAGGGAGAGGAGGGAGAAGAGCGAGAAGGAGAGAUGAAUAACUGUGUGACAGGUACAAUGAAAAAGCAGCGGAGGCUCUUUGGAGCGGUGUGGUAGGAGAGGCGUGUGUGCGGUGUGGCGCAGCCCUGCGUUUGGGUCAUACAUCACACUAAUACAGCAGGAGGACACAGCCCAGCACAGCGCUAUGCAGAGUAGGCAGCAGACAGGCAGGGGGGAGAAUAAUGUGCUGCGUUUGCACCCGCUCAAUCUGAUUGAAACACACAGCGCAGAGGCUACAUUUACUCACCCCCCACACGCACACUUCAUGAAUCCCCUCAGCCUCACUUUUAUAUUCUCCCUAAAAAACAAUAAACAGCCUCAAGGGCUUUUCAUCACAGGGAGAGGAGAUUGUUUCUACGAGUUACUCUACGUGUUGCACCGCUGUAGCCUACCACUACUCAAGGCCACACAAUUGAAACUAGUGUGGUUUACAGAAUAAUGAUCAAGGCAGGCAAUUAAAGAAUCCUCAGGUGGCCAUUAUGAAUACACUUGGCAUGUUGUUUUGCUUCUGUCUUUUUAUUUUGAGCUUCAAGUCAGUGUGGAGAUCAUGCCGUGUUGAUUAAAGAGAGAGAGGGAGACCCAUUUCAAAGGUUCCUUAUAUUUGUCAUGCCAAAUUAGCCCCUCAAUAAAUCCCUUUUUGGUUCUUAGUAUUUUCUAUAUGAGCUUUGGCAGGUGUUGGUAUUAUGGAUAUCAUUUGGUGCUUUUCUGGGGAAGGAGCAGAGUUUGAAGGGGGUGAGAGCAGCCCCCCAGAAUCAUUAUUGUAGAUGAUGGUCCUAUAAAUGUUUUAGCUCUCUUCAAUGUGUGCCAUAAUAUAACCUUUCAUUUAAGCACGCCUUGCUUUUUUCACAUCCAGAGUGAUUCCCUUUGAUCACUGGAACGCGACUCAAAGUAUUUAAGAACGCCCUGAGACUUUCUCUCAUACCAAUGACAUUCUCUCUCUCUUUCUGUCUCUCUCUCCCUCUCUCUCUCUGCUGUGAUGCAAUGUGGCUAACUAGUGAGUGCAUUGAAACAGAGCUGUAUAACGGUGUGAUGAUAUCACUCCUCAGUAAUGGAGGGUUUUGUGACAACCAUGAUGUGUGAUCUUAUAGCCCUGACAUGCCAAACACUCCAUCCGCUGAGCUAGGCAGAUGAAAUUCCACAUGCCAAUCACAUUCUGAGGCUGCCCAGCUCUGAUGAAUGAUAUGUAUUCAUGUUACAUGUAAAUCUGGUUGAGUGCAGCGCUCUAAUUGCCUGAUGGUCACAGAGACCAGACAGACUGAUAACCACCUGGAUGACAGUUAUAUUAGCAUGUAGCUUCUGCCAGUUCCCAUCUCUCAGCACCUCUCACCCCUUCACUGAGGUGUCAUCAUGACCUCAAGAGGUGAUUAAGGAGAAGGGCCGGGCAUCCACUGACACCUAAAAAGAGACCUAUAAAGGUGAUGAUGAGGAGCAUUUAAAUACCACCCACUCACACGCUGCUCUUCUAUCUCCCUAGGCGUUAAGGUGGCCGCAUGCUUCCCAGCCGAAACAGUUUGGAAGAGUUUGUGUAUAUAUUAUGAUGACAUUUUGUGACGUUUUUGUUCGUUCGGAGUUCGGGCACACCAGUUUUUUCCUCAAGGGUCAGCCAAAGUUCGGAAGCCAAAGUCUACGCCCCUUCGUCCUUUACUGGUGAACUGUAGGGGUGACGCGAGUUUCAGCUUCGUGACGAUUCAGCCCGAAACUCAGUGUGGAUUCAACAUGGCGAACGACAACGUCAAUCAUCCAUUGACCGAGGAGGUACAAAAGUACAGUACCUGCACCAUCUACGAUUCCCUAUCCAUGCAUUAUAUAAAGACCAGCAGGUAAAGGCCAAUUCAUGGAGGGAGAUUGCGGAGACUCUGGGGUACGACCCAACCACCAAAAAGGGGGGUAAGGGUUCACGACAAGUUCGUCAAGGGAAAGAAAAGAAGCUAGGGCUGCAGUGGAGCUGCUACACCAGACAUGUUGCUGCUGGCUGGUUCGGCACGUGAAACAUGAGAACACUGAAAGCAACAUUCUGUCUUCACCAAAGGAUGGGGCACAAACACCAGUGAAUGGAGACAGCACCUGGUUUUGUUCUCUGCGUCCCAGCACUGCCUGUUCACCAGCCUCAAGCACUACCUCUGCCCCAGUACUGACUGGUGAUUGGCCCCCAGCACAUCUCCCACACUGAGCUGCAGUGCAGAAUUAGAAACAAUGUCCAUGCAGGACCUGGGAAGCUCUAUCCUGGACCUACUCCACUGGCUAGCUCCUCACCAAUCCCACAGAGCAGCACCAAAGAAAGGAGAAAAGAGCUGCAGACUCAGCCCUUGACACAUCAUUCGCAAAGGCAUUGCAGAUGAUUGAAGACCGAUCUCAAGAUCAGGAGAACGUCAUGCACCGAGCCACCAGCUUGUCCCAGAGGUAAAUAAAUAAUCAUUUCAGACUCUCCUCCUUUAGUCUGAUCCCCUUUUCUCUCUCCUGAUGUCCUUUUUCUUCCUCUCCUCACCAUGCACACUGCUCUCCAGACACUCCUAAUUUCCCCUCUCUUCUCAUCCUCUCCACCGGGUCCUGGCACCUAUUGCUGAUUUCAUGGAUGAACUCUCGCCAAAACUCCGGGAGGAAUUCGAUCACCAGCUGCAUGAGUUUGGUCAUGACUUUAAGAAGAGGACAUGGACCGAACGACUGGGCCCACAACUUGUUGUGUUGUUUUGAUCAGACAGCUCAGGAGUCAGACCCUAGAUGCGUUUAUUCAAUAGAUACUUUUGUUAUUUACAUGUCUGUUCAUAACAGACACUUUCUUUUGUACUAUUGUUCCCAAAAUAUUUAUAUUGCUCAUAAAUAUUUGUCUACACUCUUGACACUUUAUAUUUGACCCUUUUGUUGUUGACAUGUCUGUUCUCAGCAGACACGUUUGUAUUGUGGUUUACUUUCAGAAGCAAGAAUAAAGGUUUAUUUGUGUGCUGAAAAAA